AUGCCUUAUCUAUCUCUGCUUUGUCCUCUUCAUACCUCUGCUGUUUCUGGGAGACCCCUUGCAGGGGGUCCAUUGCAGCAGGAGACCCCUUGGCUUCUUCUGCGGCUUGCCUCAUCUUGCUCACAAAGCCCUGUUACUUCUUCAGCUUCUGACACCUCCUCCUCCCAGUUUUCUACCUCUGACCACUUUUCUACCUCUGACCACUCACGUUGUCCCACCCUGGCUCUGAGUCUUCCUCCCUUGGGGGUUCCCCAGCUGGUGCCUCCCACCACUUCUCUGCAUCCAGCCAGACCAUGACAAUAUAUCAGGGAUGGGAAACUUUGAUCUCACAGAUGUUAUGGGAUAUAAGUCCCAUCUAGCCAUUGACCAUAUUGGAGGGCUGUAACCUUUCAAGGACACUGGCUGCCCAGUGUACUUUCACCAAAUGAUGGGAAUAUGUGGUCAUCAGCCAAAACCUACCCCAACUUCCUUUCCUUAUUCUUAGCCUCUCUCAGUCCCCAGGUUUUGUCCUGUCUGAGCUCUCCUGCCCCCAGGUCUUUGACCACUUUUCAUCCUGUUUUGUUUAUGUCUUUUUAAUAGUCCUCUUACUGUGAUGAUCUGGUCUUAAGUCUAGCAAGUACAAGAUAGUUAAACAAACAUUCAAAGUGUUCAUUUGCUUACCAACCUGUGGAUUCAACUGUGGCAUGCUAAUAGACAUGUUAAUGAUCAGUGCUAAUGGUGCACUAGUGCAGUGGUUCCCAAUUAGGGGUCCGGUGACGCCUGGGGGUCCACAGAACACACCCAGGGGGUCUGCAGCCCCAUCCCUUGCCUCCCCCCUACUAAAUUUUUGUCAUUUUUGCAUGGCAAUAUCACAUAAUAUUUUAUGUGGGGUUUUUUUAGUAUACCUAAAAUCCUUUGUUUAUUAGGGGCUACCCUACAUUUUGUUCAAAAAAUUGCUUUGCAGAGUUAUCAAAAUUUUCAAAAGUAGAAGUCCAUGGCUUGGCUAGUGGUGCCACAGAUGCAAUGAAGCCCAAAUACUUAGCCGGACAUCAUGUGGUUUUCUUCUCUGUAAUCCUAAGGGGACAAAGAUGUUGCAGAUAAUAUCUCUGAGGUGAUAGGCCUAAGAUAGCAUUUGCCUAGUUUCACUUCCUCUGAGCUUUCUGCCAACAUUUCUCUUUCUUGGGCACUAAAACCAUUCAGGAGGACAAGAUGCUUCCUUGCUCAGGGACACAAUGGACAUUAUAUUUUAGAUCUAGUAUUCUUAUGGGGAGACAGCCAGAUGUACUUUCCUUGCAAAAACUAGUCUUCUUUUGUCUUGUCCUUUUCUCAUGACAAUUUGCCCUAUCACAGGAGGAGAAGUUGAUUGAUGAAUUGCUGGAUGUUUAAAUAGCUACUGUUUGCUGGAACAGCACUACCAUGCAGACACAGAAGUCCUGGCUGAUUGCCCUCACCACCUACUCCUUCCCAGAGCAUGCCAUGGAUAAAGCCUAGAAAGGGAAACAGCUGGUCCUGAAUACUUGGCCUUAAAGCUGUAGAGUUCAUCUGAAAUACUACCAGCACACUAAUUUGCACAUGGUAUCCAUGAUACCAAAAAGUAAAUACAGGGCGCAUAUUAUACACAUGUGUGUGUUCAUACACAGGGGGCAGGGUGGUGGGCGGGGACAGCAGUAUAGCCUAUGAAAGAUCUUGCAAGAAAUUUGGAAUUGCUUUAUGUCACAAACUUUUUGAGAUGUGAUGUCAUUUUCUUUGCAAAGCUGUGCACUGGUCCCUCUUUUGAUAACCAAUGUGGAAACCACAGAUGAAAAGCAACACAGAGAAGUUACAUAUUUUUAUUAUCAUCCCACCCAUUUUUGUUAGCCCAUCUGUCUCAUGGAUGUAUCCAACACUAACAGCCAGAAGUGGAGAGGAAGCUAAGAGGGACCCCUGCAUGUGUUAUUUUGCCUAAGGCCAGAACAGGAGAUCAACCUGCAGGAGGGGAAUGAAGGAAAUGUCAUUAAAGGCCAGAGAAUUCAUAUGAAUCAUGAUUCCAUAUGGGUCUUAAAUUCAAGAGCAGUGGGAGAAUACAAAUGCCACAUUAUUGGAUGCCACAUAGGUCUGUAAAGUAUCUAAGUAAAUAGACAAAAAGGCAGGUUGAUAAACAGGAAAACCCUAAACUAUCUACAUAUUGUGAUAACAAGGUAACUCUGUGCACACAACCACCACUAGCAACUAACGAUUUCUUUUUAUUUUUAAGUACAACCUUCCCAGAAUAUUCACUUUCACAAAAUGAAUGGAAAUUGGACAUAGUUAUGCAGGUGCGUUUGCACAGAUGCCAUUUAUCCCAAUGGGGGCUUACAUAACAGGAAUUAUGUCUCCUUUACACCUAGUGGUGAAAACAGAAGAAACCAGCUUUCAGAAAAGCUCCUUGCAUCGCACAAUUUGUACCAUAUCUUUCUGGAUGAUUUUAUCCUUCUCUCAUGAAGAAGACAGCUGCCUCUGCACCUUUCUCUA
ensembl:lncRNA